rnacentral:rRNA from 1 species
GAUGAACGCUGGCGGCGUGCCUAAUACAUGCAAGUCGAGCGAGCAGACGAGGAGCUUGCUCCUCUGACGUUAGCGGCGGACGGGUGAGUAACACGUGGAUAACCUACCUAUAAGACUGGGAUAACUUCGGGAAACCGGAGCUAAUACCGGAUAAUAUAUUGAACCGCAUGGUUCAAUAGUGAAAGACGGUUUUGCUGUCACUUACAGAUGGAUCCGCGCCGCAUUAGCUAGUUGGUAAGGUAACGGCUUACCAAGGCAACGAUGCGUAGCCGACCUGAGAGGGUGAUCGGCCACACUGGAACUGAGACACGGUCCAGACUCCUACGGGAGGCAGCAGUAGGGAAUCUUCCGCAAUGGGCGAAAGCUUGACGGAGCAACGCCGCGUGAGUGAUGAAGGUCUUCGGAUCGUAAAACUCUGUUAUUAGGGAAGAACAAAUGUGUAAGUAACUAUGCACGUCUUGACGGUACCUAAUCAGAAAGCCACGGCUAACUACGUG